GCGAGUUUAUAAUGUACAAAAAUAUGAAGAUAUAAAACAAAUAGCGAGUGCCGAGUAGCGACAAGCUGACCAACUUCGAUCCUCUACCUAGGAAAUACGUACCCCGAAAAACAGAGAAUCAUUUCCCUCCAGAGCAACCCGGGUUUCCAAAGCGGGCCCCACUUUCCGCACUUGGAUGCUGAUCCCGGUCCUCAAAUAUACAAAAUCAGAUCAGCUCAAUCUCACAUGGUCUCCAUUUCGUGGCAUCUUACUAUUAGCUAAACUGAAUGACUGUCAUUGACCUUUUCUUCAGCCAAUCAGAUUUCGCAACGUCUAGAUUCAAGCGACCUAUGAGAUCACAGGCAACAAAAUCCAAAAUGUUUAGAAACGCUCAUGAUAAGACGAGAAUUCAAAAAUGGGGACAGCAUCGUCAAUUAAUAUUUCACAAAUCUCAAAAUCUCAGGCAAGUCCUAUGCCACGUCAUCAAUCCAUGUGCUUACAUUAGUAGCAAAUUUAUGCCGUUGGAUCCUCACCCAAAAUUACGAUCCCCUAACCGUUGGAUCCUUGCUCAACUUCUCAACCUCUUCUCCUUUUGCCUGCUCUCCGAUCCGAUCUUCAAACCCUCCCUUUUAAAUCCUGGACUUUACCCCAACUCUUCUCUCCAUGCCAAACAGUUCCUUUCCUCUUCCCUCUCUCUCUAUCUCUCUAUUGUCAGCUUCGCUCUAAAAAUUUUCAGCUCUCAUGGCUACCACUGAAGAUUCCACUAACCCGCAACUCCCUCCAGUUCCAGCUCUUCAAGAACUACCACAAGCUCAACAGCAACUGCAGCAGACACACUCCUCCAUUCUUCCUCAGUACCCUGAGGUACUAGUUUACAUGCCAUGACAAUGUCUUCCUGUUCUCUGGUUUAAUUGCGUGUAAUUUUGUUUUGGGUUUAAUGGAAUGCCAAUUUGCUUUGUUUUUCAGAUGAUUAUGGCGGCGAUCGAGGCUUUGGACGACAAGAACGGCUCUAACAAGUCAGCGAUCUCGAAACAAAUCGAGUCUACUUACCCUGAUCUACCGGCGGCCCACACUACGCUGCUCUCGCAUCACCUCAACAAGAUGAAGCAAAGUGGUCAGCUCCUCAUGGUCAAGAACAACUACAUGAAACCGGACCCCAACGCGCCACCGAAGAGAGGCCGCGGCCGGCCGCCCAAGCCAAAAGCACCAGUUCCACCUGGAACCGUGAUCGGACCCCCCAGGCCACGUGGUCGUCCACCCAAGCCAAGAGAUCCAUUUGCCCCCGUAGCUUCACCCAAGAAGAAGACCACAAGUGGGAGCGGAAGGCCCCGCGGACGUCCACCUAAGAAGUCUAACACGGAAGCUGCGCCUACUUCAGCUCCGGCAGCUCAGGCGAAGGGCGUGAAGAGAGGGAGAGGCAGACCGCCCAAGGUGAAGCCGGCUGUGGCCCCAGUCGCCGGUUAAGGGAAAUGGGAACAAAGAUAGAGAGAGAGAGAGAGAGAGAGG
rnacentral:misc_RNA from 1 species